CUGUCAUCUACCGUCAUCUACCGUCAUCUACUGUCAUCUACCGUCAUCUACCGUCAUCUACUGUCAUCUACUGUCAUCUACCGUUAUCUACCGUCAUCUAGUGUCCUCUACCGUCAUCUAGUUAAUCCACCGUCAUCUAGUGUCAUCUACCGUCAUCUAGUGUCAUCUAGUGUCAUCUACUGUCAUCUAGUGUCAUCUAGUGUCAUCUACCGUCAUCUACCGUCAUCUACUGUCAUCUACUGUCAUCUACUGUCAACUACCGUCG